rnacentral:rRNA from 1 species
GACAGAGGCCACAAGCGUUAGGCGGAAUCACUGGGCUUAAAGCGUGUGUAGGCGGAUCGUUAAGUGCCUUGUGAAAGCCCCCGGCUUAACCGGGGAAUUGCUUGGCAUACUGGCGGUCUUGAGCUGUUCAGAGGCAACUGGAACAGGCGGUGGAGCGGUGAAAUGCGCAGAGAUCGCCUGGAACGCCGGAGGUGAAGACGGGUUGCUGGGGACACGCUGACGCUGAGACACGAAAGCCAGGGGAGCAAACGGG